rnacentral:lncRNA from 1 species
ACUACCAACUUUGAACAAGGUGGAAGGAGACUUUUCUUCUUAUUUUGAUUCCUUCUCAAAAAAUAUUGAAAUAAACAUGUUUUUCAUUCUGACUUUGGACUUAAUCGGCCACAUUAAACGAAAUGCCAACUGAUGUAAAGUUACAGGAAUCACUUUCCGCACGCUGCAUUAACGUGACUGCACUAGCCACCAUGAUAGGACAGUUAAGAUCAGCAAUGUUAUCUGUG